GACGAACGCUGGCGGCGUGCUUAACACAUGCAAGUCGAACGGAAAGGCCCUGCUUUUGUGGGGUGCUCGAGUGGCGAACGGGUGAGUAACACGUGAGUAACCUGCCCUUGACUUUGGGAUAACUUCAGGAAACUGGGGCUAAUACCGGAUAGGAGCUCCUGCUGCAUGGUGGGGGGUGGAAAGUUUCGGCGGUUGGGGGUGGACUCGCGGCUUAUCAGCUUGUUGGUGGGGUAGUGGCUUACCAAGGCUUUGACGGGUAGCCGGCCUGGGAGGGUGACCGGCGACAUUGGGACUGAGAUACGGCGCAGACUGCAACGGGAGGCAGCAGUGGGAAAUAUUGCACAGUGAGCGGAAGCGUGAUGCAGAAGCGCCGCGUGCGUGAUGACGGCCUUCGGGUAGAGAACCGCUUUCGCCUGAGACGAAGCGUGAGUGACGGUAAUGGGUAAAGAAGCACCGGCUAACUACGUG
rnacentral:rRNA from 1 species